AUGGGGGAAACUGAUGUGAAGAUGGUUGGGGUUUCUGCCGAUGAUCAUGCCAUGGAGGCGUUCAUGAGUGCUGGUGCUGAUUUAUUUGUGCCCAAACCAAUGAGGAUGGAGGCUCUUGGCCCUAUCAUUCAGGAGGUCAUCAACAAGAAGAAGAAUGACAUGGUCUAG
rnacentral:rRNA from 1 species